AUUGAACGCUGGCGGCAGGCCUAACACAUGCAAGUCGAGCGGAUGAAGGGAGCUUGCUCCUGGAUUCAGCGGCGGACGGGUGAGUAAUGCCUAGGAAUCUGCCUGGUAGUGGGGGAUAACGUCCGGAAACGGGCGCUAAUACCGCAUACGUCCUGAGGGAGAAAGUGGGGGAUCUUCGGACCUCACGCUAUCAGAUGAGCCUAGGUCGGAUUAGCUAGUUGGUGGGGUAAAGGCCUACCAAGGCGACGAUCCGUAACUGGUCUGAGAGGAUGAUCAGGCACACUGGAACUGAGACACGGUCCAGACUCCUACGGGAGGCAGCAGUGGGAAAUAUUGGACAAUGGGCGAAAGCCUGAUCCAGCCAUGCCGCGUGUGUGAAGAAGGUCUUCGGAUUGUAAAGCACUUUAAGUUGGGAGGAAGGGCAGUAAGUUAAUACCUUGCUGUUUUGACGUUACCAACAGAAUAAGCACCGGCUAACUUCGUG
rnacentral:rRNA from 1 species